UAGUAUUUUGACUAUACAAAGGUAUUGAAAUAAGACUUUUAUUGAGUGCUAAGAGAGUGGAAUUACAGGAAAAAUCUUUUUAAACCUAAAAAUUAAAGUUAUUUUUACUUGUGAAGAAACAGUAAUAAGAAUUAAGGACAAGAAGACCCUAAGAAUUUUUUGAAAUGUGUUUCAAUAUGGAAAAUUCAUUUCUUUAAUUGGGGCGAUUAAUUAAUAUUAAAAACUUUUUUGCAAAAAAAGGAACCGCUUACUAGCGGUAAUUUGGUCAAAAUACUCUAGGGAUAACAGCGUAAUAAUUUUAGAUAGUUCAUAUUGACAAAAUAGUUUGCGACCUCGAUGUUGGAUUAGGAUAUUUUUUUAAUGAAGAAGUUAAAAAAAAGAGUUUGUUCAACUUUUAAUUUCCU
rnacentral:rRNA from 1 species